CGACACAGAGAGCCGCGGACAUCGAUGCCGUGCCGUCCAGACGGGAGUGCCCUCCUCCUACCCUCUCCCCAACCUUCUGCAAGCACUCAGAGACAAGAAAAAAUUAGAAUAGGUAAAUGGGAAUAGAAACAAGAUUGCUUAUUUCCAUGAUACCAUGUGGCUCUGUAUAUAAUGUACGUCCAUCAUUAUUUAGUCCUAAAUCACCCACUGAAAUGGAAAAGGCUUUGCUCUGAUUAGUUUAAAAAGAGCACCCAAACACUCAUCCCUCAUCCCCAUUAACCGGAGUGGCUGUAGCAUUGAAUGCUUCAGUGUGUAGUGAGUCAGUUAUGGGCGGACAAGGUCCCUGUCACAUAUCACCCUCCUUGUCUAGAAAAAGCUACAGAACAAACAAAAAAAGCUGUUGCCCUUAGUGACAGUGCUCUGGCAGGACAAAGGAUUUGCCACAGAUGAUGCCUGAAUUGGAAGAUAAAAGUGAUAGAAAUGGCUAUCUGUGGCAAGUGGGAAAUCCCCACCUAGGAGAACAAAGGGGGGACAGGUAUCAGAGCAGGAACUUCAAAAGAAAAAGACACAGGCUUUUUGUGAGGGGUGAGGGGAGAGAACUAUUUUGACAUGAGACCAGCCAAAGACAAAGAACGCUGUCUAGAGGAGAGAGAGUAAACAUCCUGAUUCAGAAGAGACUCAUGAGCUAUAGCUGGGUGAUCCUGGACACCAGUUCUAUGGUAUUUUAGGUAUCUUCAGGGCCAAAGAAAGAUGGUGAUGGCCCUUCUGGUUGGGAAAUCUCACUUGUACAGUGGAAGAAAUUCUGAAGACUAGAGGAGGAUGCGACCUAUGUCUAUCUGCAUUGGCAGAAAGUUACAAAAGGCUUCAUCCACAUGCAGCGAGGAAAGAAAAAAAAAUGUUGCUUCUGGUAAUGUUGGGAUGGGACUCCAGCUGUAUAUCAAACCAUUUUAAAAAAACCCAAACACCCAC